UUACAAGGUUAAGUCAGUAAAACACAAGCAGCAUGUUCUUGCAAUUAAUAAUUAACCAUGGUAUAACCAUUGUAUAGCCAUUAUUUAACGUACAACCCUUGUAUAAAGUGUGCCUUCUCAUAAAAAGGGCAAUAGCAGAAAAAUUUUAUGUUUCCCUGCUUAAAAGGAUAGUACUGCUGAUCAGUGACCCCAUUUCUGACCGCUCUGUCCGUCUUGGUAACAGAACCCUGCUCACUUUCACCAGUGGAAGUAGCCUCUGGAUCAUUAAUAAUUCAUCCAUCUGAAAUGAAAUCCAGGUGCGCCAGUGGCUGUCAGACGCAGGAUGGCCACUGUUAACAUGGAUGCACCUGUGAGUAUUCAUAUUCUACACAGUAUAUAAAUAGCAUCUUUUUAAAGCAGGGGUAUAUUUACAUCAGAAUAAUGCAGAAUUUAAAGACACUCUUGUUGGAGUCUCUGUCAUUGAUCUUUAAUGUUUUAGGGAGCUGACGCAGUGAGAGUGGGAGUUGUACUUACAACAAAACCAGAGAGUAAAGAAUCUGUUGUUAUUGAUGAAGAAGGACAUAGUGUUUACUACAAAUCAUCAAAUAAUGAGGCAGCCAAGGCCUUCUCUUUCGACCAAGUCGUGACUGUUGACAGCAUAAAG